GACGAACGCUGGCGGCGUGCUUAACACAUGCAAGUCGAACGGAAAGGCCCUGCUUUUGUGGGGUGCUCGAGUGGCGAACGGGUGAGUAACACGUGAGUAACCUGCCCUUGACUUUGGGAUAACUUCAGGAAACUGGGGCUAAUACCGGAUAGGAGCUCCUGCUGCAUGGUGGGGGUUGGAAAGUUACGGCGGUUGGGGAUGGACUCGCGGCUUAUCAGCUUGUUGGUGGGGUAGUGGCUUACCAAGGCUUUGACGGGUAGCCGGCCUGAGAGGGUGACCGGCCACAUUGGGACUGAGAUACGGCCCAGACUCCUACGGGAGGCAGCAGUGGGGAAUAUUGCACAAUGGGCGGAAGCCUGAUGCAGCAACGCCGCGUGCGGGAUGACGGCCUUCGGGUUGUAAACCGCUUUCGCCUGUGACGAAGCGUGAGUGACGGUAAUGGGUGAAGAAGCACCGGCUAACUACGUG
rnacentral:rRNA from 1 species